ACGGGAGGCGGAACGGCGGGAAUGAUGCGGUGAGGGAGCAGGUUUACUUACUUCACCAGCAAAACAAACUACUGAAUUGGGAGGGAUUGGUCGGCCGGACGUGAUCGCUAUUUAUUCAGGUGACACAGAGGCUUCUGGAAAUUUACAUCCAUGCAUUUACACUGCAUUAAUGCAUUAAAGGUACAGUAUAAUGUUAUCAAUCCAGCUCAUACUGAACGUCACAGUAUAAUUGUUCAUGUGUUUAUCUAAUAUAUAAAACCAUUUUAAGUCUAUGUAUGUGCUUAUUUGCAUAGCUACGUGUGUGUGUGUGUGUGUGUGUGUGUAAUGUAGAUGGUUACAGCCUUCUAAUGAACAACAGCAGAUCUCUUUCAGAAAGACUGACAUAACUGAUGUGCUCAUUGAGAGGCAAGAUAGUCUACAUUAUUAAUACUCAGAUUAACUUACCCACACACACACACACACACACUUGUACAUUGUGAGGACAUUCAUUGACACAGUGUAAUCUCCAGCUCCUUACUCUACCCUUUACCCAAUUAUCACCUGAUCCCUAAAACCAAGUCUGACCCUCAAACAGGCCUUUAAAAAGAUCCCAGAGAGUGAAGAACGGACAAAAUGACCUCACUUUACUCUGUGUCACUCUGAUGAUCUAAAACACAAAGAUACAAGUACACAAAUACACACACACUCGCGCACAAACACUCGCACACACUCAGACUCACACACCAACACUUGCACACACACACACACACUCGCACACACACCAACACUCGCACACCAACACUCAAAAACACACACACUCGCGCACACACUCAGACUCGCACACACACACACUCUCACACACACACACACACACCAACACUUGUGCACACACGUGCACACACACACACACACACACACACACCAACACUUGCACACACACACACACUCACACACACACCAACACUCGCACACCAACACUCAC